rnacentral:tRNA from 1 species
UGCCGGGUAGACGAAUCGGAAAAGUCGCAUCGCUCUGAACGAUGAGAUUGCAGGUUCGAGACCUGCUCCGGCAUCCA